AGAUAUUGUAAUAAUACCAGUUUUUACGGAUAUGAUUAUAAUGCAGCUGCAUAGGGAUCUGGAAAAAAGAUAGUUGUCAUGAAAAAAAUCAUAUUCAAUGAUUUCAUGUCUACGUUAUUAUGAUCAGUAUUGACAAUCUAAUAUCUGAUACCAUUUUUCAUGUUGUAUUAUAUUAUGCCAGUUUCCAGUUGUUAGAGGAAGAGAGCAUUGAAUUCAAGGGAUAUGGACUUCGUGACAAUGCUGUGUAACUCUUUGUUUUUGAGAAUCAGGAAAUGGGACUAUGCCUUGGUUGUAUCUAGGCGGACCAAUCUACUGUUGCAAUCAGAGAAACUUUUGGGAAGUUUUAUGAUGGACUUGAACCUGGUUGUCAUUGUUUGCCUUGGUGAUUGGGUAGUGCAGUAGCUGGUCAUCUCUUUCUACGAGUGCAGCAAUUGGAUGUUGGCUAUGAAACAAAGACCAAGGUUUGUCUUUAAUUUCCUUUACACACAAAAGAUUGAUAUACCUUCUAUACACAGAUUAAGCACUGCACAUGCACUCUAGGUGCAUGUCUUAGUUCUCUCACUAAUGUAAAGUCUUUUUGUUGUUUCUCUUAAUUGUCCAUGUAUAUAUUUGUCCUGUUUUGGUUUAGUUAUUUAAGCUGCUUAUGGUUCUUUCUUAUUUUUCCCAGGUUCAUGUGCUUCCUUCCAUUUUGGAUCUUAUCUUGGGUAUCCAGAGCAUUUUUCUCAGUUGCAUUUCCACUUUGUUUUGUGCUCUUUCAUUUUCAGUUUCAUGUUCAUUGUAAUUUUUCUUUCACAAGAGGUAAGGUUGAUGUCCCCCUCUUCAACUGUAGUUUAUUUAUUUUAUAUACAAGAAAAAAAAAUGGAGUACUUACUUUUUUU